rnacentral:lncRNA from 1 species
UAAAGAAUAAAAAAAAGAAAAUCAUCUCUAAUAUUUGAGUUUUAAUUAUAAGAAUAUGUAAAUUAUUUUAAAAUAGAAAAUAUAAUCGGGUUAUUGAUCGGGUAAAUGGGUCAAGAAUUUUAACCCAAACCCGACACGGAAAAAAAUCGUGUUGACCCGGACCCGACCCAUUUAAUAAUCGUGUUAAAUUUGACGACCCAUACCCAUUUAUUU